AUAUAUAUAUAUAUAUAUAAAAGAUCGGCUUUGUUAUUUCCUGUAAUUAAACGCGGUUAAGUCUUGCGUUGCUUUUUAAGACGUUGUUACGCGCUUACCUUCGUCCCUCUUGGGGAAAUUACAAAGUCGCCGAAUAUGUGACUCUACGUGUCACUCAAUGUAUAAUGGUUUUCAUAGCGGGAUGGAAUAGACGAAGCUUAUUUUCGAUACCUUAUUUUAUAUUCGAUCGUUAAGAACGGGAGCGAUACUCGAGAUCGAUUUAAAGCGACAAAAUGUAGAUAAGUAAGUACGACGUGACACCGGUUCUGUCGGAUUACCCAAUUCUUUAUGUAAUCCCUCAUCAAGAGAAUACCAUCCGAUCGGUAUUCUUGGCACGGACCGUUACCCUCGAUAACGUUCUCGCGAGAGAUUCACUUAUAUCGAAUCGUUGCUAUGUGGGCGUAAAGAUGAUUUCGAUGGGUUCUCCAUUUCUUUUUUCAAGGUAUAACAAUAUUUUCGACUUAGUUCUCGUUACCGAUCGACGUUGAUAUUUCUUUUUUCGUCAUCGAAAAUUUCAUUUCGCUUAUCGCUAAAGAAUUCGUGGAAUCGUUGGCUCGUCGUCGAUGUUCGUAGUUUUACGAGUCGCUCGUCUUACAUCGUGCGACGCGAGCGGCCCCGAAGGAGUUCGCCGAUGAGCGGAGCCACACCCGCUGAUUUUAUUGACGUACGAGCGAGCAAGAUGGGUGCACACUCGGUGUAUAAACCGAGUGCCCGAGCCGACUGAAAUCGUUUUACUUGGCGCAGCCGCGAAAAGAUUUCACCUUUGGUUUAUCGUCGCGCCGCGCGGAUAUACCGGCCCACGUGGCACGUGCAACACGACUUCCACCGUGCACCGGCACCUUGUUAAAUAAUGUUCACUGCUUUCGGCCACGAAUCGGGUCUGACUCGUUUCCAAAGGUGGAUAUUAAAUACCCUAUAUACACGUCGGGCCUGGCCAACGCUCAAAGUAUUUUUCUUUGGCGCGCCGUGCGACGCGACGUUUCGAUUUUAAGCGGCUUUAAGAAUCUGCCUCGCUUUGCCACGGCUCGCUUAACUUAUUUGCGAAGAGCAUAAUCGCGAUUAAAUUGCUCCUCGGAGGGUUAAUCGCGUGACGCCGCACCGAUCCUCGCAAAUGGUCGUUCCGCAAAAUAUCUUUUAAUUCUCUUGCGAUUAUUCGUUGAACUUUAAACACUUUCGCGUCGAGUCGCGUAUCAAUUUUCAAGUAGCCGAUUUCUACAACGCGUAUCAAGGACGCGGGCGUGCUAAUUUACGUAUUAUACGUAUAAAGUAUGUACGAUUAUCGCUACGCAUACGAGGUAUAUUUUGCAUGCGAGUCCUGCCUAUAUGGUAGGAAAGUAAGGAGAAGCUCGAACGUUGUUUAUUAAAUCAUCCGUCAAGGAAAACGUGUAAUCCGUGAGCAGCAAAAAAGGCCACGCUCGGGUGGCCGAGUAAAAGCAACUUAAUAAUACGCGAGAGAGGAGAGGAGAGGGGGACGAGUGAGAGAGAGAGAGAGAGAGAGAGAGAGAGAGAGAGAGAGAGAAAGACGCGUUAAGUUUAUAUUCCCUCGGAAUGAUCGAAGCGCGAGUAGAUACAUUUCUUUGAUAGAAACGGAUACAUAUUUCUGGAUACGAUCAAGCGCGACGUUUAUAACACGUACGCUGGUAGUCUCGAGACGAAACGCUUCGUUGCUCGCCAUCGCCAAUCUGUCCUAUGCUAAAUGAUCAUUGAAAGAUCGUGCUCGAGUACAAAUAUCGCGUCGGUGUAUUAAUAGUUACCGUGAUUACCAUUCCAUUACCGUACAACGUCAUUAUGCUGAACAGUACAAGGGAGCAAGAUAUUCGUCGAGACGGUACUAUAUCAAUCCGCCGUAAUAUCGGCCGUUGCAGCAGGUUGAAGCACCUUAUCGCUAAUAUCUCCGAGGAGAGCGUGCACGCGCUUACAUGCUUCCUUCGACGAUAUAUCCCUAUAGCUUUACUCUUCGAGAAUUACUAAAUUACGGAACGGUUCUGCACGCUCCUAUCUCUCCAUCUCUUUUCUUACACUUUGAUGGCGUGAAAUUAGGAUCGGGUCUAUCGUAUUUUAUCGAACGAAUAUUUUCCUUUAUCGAUUUUAGAUAUCUACUUGUUGGUAGAUAUCUUUCAAUAAAAAAUUUCGACGAUGAGUCGCCGGCUACACGCCCGAUCUCGCGAAUUUGUCUCUUGUUCCAAUGGGGAAAAAGGGACGAAAAAAAAAAAAAAAAACAGAAAAAAGAGAAAAGGCUCGAGAGAUGCGAAGGAGGACAGCAAAGAUCUCGAAGAAAAAGCAACCCGAAGGGGGCCCUAAGCGUUACGAGUCAACCCCGACAGGGAGCGCUGAUCGAGCGAGAUCGGGAGGCGGUAUCGUAAAUCAUGUAACCCAAUUCAAUAAAGCACGGUGCCCUUUCCCUCUAACCGGUGCCAGCAGGUACAACCUGAAGAAAUCCCGAAUGUGUCCAUAACUCAGCGGGCUCUCCGCCGGUCCUCUCAUUCUGCUUCCUUUCUCUCUUUCUCUCUCUCUCUCUCUCUCUCUCUCUCUCUCUCUCUCUCGUAUUCGCGAGAUCGUACGUAUACGUAUAAAAAACCUAUGCCCGUAGCCCUUUUUAGCCCUUUUUUCUUCUCCGCGAUCUCUUUCCGUUCGCCUUUUUCAAACGGCGUGUACAUAACAUUCGACGACAACCACGACAACGACGACCCACGUUCCCCGUUGAUCGCUCGCGAGAGUUGUCGGAUUUGUAGAACAAUAUUAUCGAAGGUGCGUGCGCUCGCGCGCGAUUCGGUGCGUGUUGCCACGGUGCGAAUUGUAAAUUCCACGCGCCUCCGCGUUUUCUCUCUUUCUCUUUCCCCUUUUUUCUCUCGACUCUCAGAAAGUCGUGAGAUAUCACGAGAUAUAGCUUAAAUCGCGUUCGAGAGAUCGCAGAAACGAUAUUUUCUGUUCGACGUAACGUCUCCUCGUGGGCCGGGAUCAAAGUUCGAUUCGAGUCUUUAAUAAGGCAUUGUUGCGUACAUUUUUAUCGAUCGAUCGCUUAAAAGCAUCGAGGUCUCUCUUGGAGAAUCGCGUUAUUGAAGAAAAUCUUGUGUUUCGUAGAUAAGCGAGACGAAUAAAAGCCGAGAAAUGGCGUCGGUUUAUUUGAAUAUACGAGGAAAGAUAAACGCCGUCUAUAUAAGCGAGUUGAUUUUUACAAUUAAAAUUUUUCUUAUCUUUUCGCGGGAAGAAGGAGCACGUGGAGCUAAAGAAAUUCUUCCAAAAUUUCUCUUCUCGUUGGCCUUUAAAUUGAGCGAGUCGAUUUACGAGAUGUAAACGCACGCGCGCCAGCGCGUCACGCUUUACACGCUCGAGCGUUACGAACUUUACGAGUUACACGAUAAUAGAGAAAGAAAAGGCUCGCGUGGUUGUUUCCGAUCGGGAACUUUAAAGCGAUUCGAGAAAGGGAGGACAACUGCGAGAGAAAGAGAGAGAUAGAGAGAGAGAGAGAGAGAGAAGAAGGAGAAGAAGAAGAAGAAGAAGAAGAAGAAGAAGAAGACUUCCACGUCUCUCGUACGCGUGGAAACGGGACGUCCCGGUUGUAUGCCUCUGACAGCAGGAGUCUACGCUCAGGGACUUAAAUCAUUGAGUAACAACGACGAUAUCUACGACGGUGACGAUCGACGAGACCGUACGACUCGGAUCUCCACAUCGAUCAAUCGUGGAGAAGCAAGUUACACGAGCUUCAUGGGGACGCGUUUAGAAAGAUCUACUCUCUCUCUCUCUCUCUCUCUUUCUUUGCUAGAAAAUAUUUGCCCAAGAAAAUUCAUUAAAAAUUUGUCCAAUUGAGCGAAUUGUAUUAAACCAAUUUUCGAUAUUUUAUUCGUACUCGUUCGAUACGAUCAACGUAGGAAUGAAUCGGUUGGAUGAAUAAAUCGUUCUCGAGAUGCGAUGAAGCGGUUGAAAGGAAAGAAAAAAAGUAGGGAGAGAGAGAGAGAGAGAGAGAGAGAGCAAAGCAGAGGUUUUCUUCGUAGAAGAUGCGACCAUAGUGAUCGCGAUCGGCGCCAAUAAAUAAACGGCGGGAAGGAAGGCGGGCAAUUAAGAAAGACAUCAGGCGACUAAUGAGGUUACGCCGCGACGAGCUCCUCCUUGGUACCAGCGCCAACGUAGAGUAAAACAUAGCGCGCGGGCGCGAGAGAGAGAAAGAGAGCAAGAUAAGAAGGAGGAGGCGAGAGAAUCAAGUUGGUCACGCGUAGAAGCGAGUCGACUGUUCGGCUGUUCGAAUCUCGAUACCGUGCAACCGCAAUAUCAAGAGCCUGCGAUCCCGAGGAAGGUGCUGGAAGAGAGAAGUUAAAGAAGAAGAGUAGGGAGUGGAAGGGAAGAGGACGUGGUAUAGUAAAGACGGACGGAUUCGAGCGGUCGAGAGCUGUAGGACCGUUGCCACGAGGCAGAAGACAAUGCCGCAUAAAUCACGAACGGCAGCGGGACGCCAGUCGGCGUGCCGAUCGCUCGAUACACCCCGAUACAGGCUCGUCCAACUAAUUGCCCGUUGUGUCUAUGGGAGGGCAGAAAUCGCGCUCUGAUUGCCACGAGAAUUGAGGAAGGAAGUCGUGUGCCUCCGCGAUACCUUUGAGAUCCUACCUACGAUGAUCGAGGAACGGCCGCACCAGGCGGAUCGAUCUUAAAGCAAGAAGAUUGAGUCCUAUCUCUGUUCCACCGAGAGAUCGACUUUUUGAUCGUCGAGGUGAGAUAUAUAAUGGGACGAUCUAUAAGUCUCGACAGCUUAUGAUACGCGAUUUAAGUCUUAUAUAAAAUACAUCGGAAUAGUGUACCAUCUAUAAAUGACAAAUGCUCUCUCUCUCUCUCUCUCUCUCUCUCUCUCUCUCUCUCUCUCUCGGUCUCUUUCAUCGUCGUUUACGCGAUAAAAAGAAAAUGCAUAAAAAUGAAAAUCGACUAAGAGUCGUCGACCAACUGUUUCGCGUACCAACUUAAAGAAGAAGCGUUAGUGUUCAGCCACGUAGUAGUAGUCGGAGAAGCUUGAAAGGCGCGCGCGCGAUCGAAAGCAUUUCCGGGUAGAGAAGGAUCCACCGGCGUGGUUAGCACGAUGCCCCAAAGCGGCUUGACCUCGACGAGGAGAGGAGAGCCCGGAACGAUCGUAGCCGAGACCCGUCGUCCCUCUAAUCUCGCUCGAUUCUUCGUGUGUAAGUACGUGCGUCUGUGUGUUCGCCUCUCUGUGUGUUUACGUACGGGCUUCCUCUGCCGACGACGUUACUCAGAGACGAGAAAGACGUAGAGAGAGAUAGAGAGAGGUAGAGAGAGGGAGAGAGAGAGAGAGAGAGAGAGAGAGAGAGAAAGAGAGAGAGACAGAGAGAGAAGAGAGAAAGGAGCAUCUAGAUCGCAGGGGAACGUCGUUCUCUUCUCUUUCUUUCUCUCUCGAACAAGGAGAACUCGAAAAAUGGCCUCGGGUCGGUUUCCGGGUCACGCGUUCGUCGGGACGCUCUCGAGUAUCAGGUGUCAUUACCAUUGGGCUCUCUACUCUGUUCUCUCUUUUUCUCUGUCCAUGUCUCGGGGAUGUUGCCGAGCGUUGUGAAAACGACGAGUACCGUACGACGUUCCGGCGAGACCGGCCACUGGGGCAACCGAGCUGCCAGCGUAGUAGAUGUAGAGCGCUUCGGUUCUUUCCAGUCACGCCCUCCCAUGCCCUCCCGUGCUUUCGGAUCGCGUCGGAAAGUUUCACGACGCGUACGGUAUGUCCUUCUUCGCGGCGAUGAUCCUUGGCCCCCGCCAGCCGGAUCCUUUUCCACGGUACCAAGACGUUUCUCUCGUUAGGUUAGUCGAACGUGGAAUCUCCAUUCUUUGCUGUCCAACCAAAUGGCAAUGUCUUGUAUAUCUCUUGACUUCACUCGUUAGAAUUCGUUAACAGGUACGAUUGGAAUUUUCAUGAUCGUUGCAAAUGUCAUUGAUUUUCUUGAUAAACCUUUCGUAUCUUCUUCAAUAGUCAUUAAUUAAAAUUUAUCUCUCUUUUUUUUUUUUUUCUUUUCUUUUUUUUGUUUGUCUUCCAAAUAUUAUAAAAACGAUGAGGAGCCUUCUACCGACUAACCGGUGGUUCGUCAACGAGGAACACGCUUUGAGAAUGAUCGGCACGGAGAAGCGUUUCGCUCGUCACUUCGCAAGGGGUUCUGAGAAUUGCCGGCAUGAGAACAAUGAACGAGGAGGAUGGAGGAGCUACGCGGAAUCGCGGAGGUUAAGUCCGAUGUCGGAUCGUCCGAUGACCGAUCAGGGGUCACGUCAUUCCGUCGAGAGAUCGAAGAGAUGUCAUUGGUGGUCCGUUAUUCCUGAAUGACCCGAGAACUCUUUCCUCUUUGCGGAUCGAAGCACCACCUGUAGAAAAUGUAUAUAUCCCGGCGAUCUCGUCUCUUAACCUUUUCCGAUCCGAUUUCGCUCAUCACGAUUCGCUCCCACAACAACGGUUAUUGCUGCUCCUCGAACGACGUAAUUCUAGGCACUACGAUUUAAAGCCGAGCAUAGUAUCGGGCCUUCUUUCAAGCGUCGUUUUCUACGUAUACAAGAAUAAAGAGCCUUCUACGUACAAUCCCUACAGAUAUUUUUAAUAAAUUGAUUUCGAAGAAAGAAAGAAAGAAAGAAAGAAAGAAAGAAAGAAAGAAAAACAAAAUUAUUGGUGAUGCGACUGUGCUACUUGCUUGUCAACGGUACUUAAAAUGUUAAUGUGCCACGCCCAAAGACGUUCGGUAGCACGAACAAGUUCAACGAUUUUUUUGGCUUUAUAAGAUUCACACACAUUCAGGAGGAUGGUCCGUUUUGGGAAGCGACGAGGAAAAUGAAAAUUGAAAAAUCUAAAUGGAAUCACGUCGGGUGGUUCGCGUGACACGUUCAUUCAUCGGCUUCAUAAAAGGUCACUUUAUAAGUUCCACCUACUUUAUAAAAUCCUUUGUAUCUCGGAGAUUUAGUCGGCACGCUCGAGUGCCCAGGGACGAAAACAGGACCUCGGCUCUGAGAUUUAUUGUGAAGGACUCUCGAGCAUGGUUGCGCGUCUCGUAGCAACGUGAACGCGGCUACGCUUCUGUGUGCGUGCUCCUCUCUCUCUCUCUCUCUCUCUCACUCUCUCUCUUUUUUCUCGUUUUUUCUUUUCCCUUUUUUUUUCCUUUUUUUUGGUUACUCCCAUUUUUAGAAUCGGUCUAUUCAUCAUUGGCCACGGGGUGGAUCUAGUCUUUGGAUUUUCAACGAUUCUCUUGGAUUCUGAAGUACAUUUUUUCUUUUCACGCCGUUGGUAUAUAUUUCUUUGGAAAAGUUUUUCCUGAAACAUUCUCUCUUUGUAUUCGAAAAUGAUGAUUUUUAAUUUAAAAUUUGUACCUUAUCCCGUUAAGUAUAUUUUUGUCUAUUCGAUUUAAUAUAGAUACUCUCGUUCGUUUAGAAAUAUCUCAUGGAAGAGUUUACUUAAGGAAAUUAAUGUUUGAAAGAUUAAUGACCUUCUAUUUUCGAAAGAUUGAUAGAGCUACGUGACAUCGUGCAUACGGAUCGCGUCGGAUCGUACACGGAGAGAAGAGAAAAGGACAUGUCUUCUAGGUCGGAAAGGAAAGAAGAUCGUUCAGGUAACACGGGCUAGGCACGAGAUACUCGAGAAACUCCAUAAAGUAAUCCGACUUCGGGAACGCUUCGUAUACAUGGCGCGUCCAAGAGGCCUGCGGGCGUAAAAGAAGCGAAUAAUGGGCUCAUUCAUCGAAGUAACGAAAACCUCGAGGCUACACUGGCAGCACCGUCCUCGGUCAGAGGUAUCGACAAUUAUAAAAGGCAUUGUACGGAUUCUCGAUAUAGGCUUGAGAAGAAUCCGCAUUCCAUAUUGUACUGAUCUUUCGUACCCAGGUGAAAAAUUUUGAAGAAUCGUCGAAAAUUGUACGAUCGUGAAUAACGAUAAUAAUAUACCGAUACCUUUAUCAAUGUUUCCGAUCUACAGAAUGUUUUGAUCUAAAGAACUGACUGGGAGCUCGUUUCGUGGAAGAAUCAUUAACCGGCGAAUUUCGACUUCGUUACCAGAACAUAAUUCACGAACAAUGCUCGUGGAACAUGGAUCUCGAGUGGAACGUUCGUAUUUUCGGAUCGCCGGGAGGCGAUUCGGCGACGAGGGAAUUAACGAAUUGCGAUUUAUGAAAGUCCGGCGAAUCGAUAAUUGGCACCAAGGACGGAAGAUACCCCGAAGGCGUGGGUGCUCGAGAGACCUUCGUUCGUCGUCGUCGUCGUCGUCGUCGUCGUCGUCGUCGUCGUCGACGACGAGCUUGCCGGUCGAUAGGCUCACCGAGCCCAACUCCAUAAAUCACUUGGGAUUCCUCGCAUUCUCGGCAUUGUGGGCCGGUACACUUGUUCCAGGUCCCAUUCUUUCGUCCAUUCAUGCGCUCGCGACAAUGCCCUGCACCUUACGUUUUCCAUAGAAACUUGGACGUACUUACUUACACGUACACGCAUACGUUCCUAAAAGAUCGAACACAUAGACAGAAAGAACUAUACUCUUAGAGAGACGUCCUCUCACUAUCGACCGUUCGCUCGAAUAUCCUCUUUCAUUGAAUAAUAAAAGAGCCUGAAAAGUCUUCGCAAGAAUGGAUAGAAGAAUCUUAGCUUACGAUUCUCGAUCGUCGUGUCGUCGUGCUAUCGAGAAUUAUCUCGGUCUCUUCUUCUCUUUUCUUCUCUUACCCUCCGCCUUUCUUACCUUGUUGAUUUUAUCGUGUUUACAUUUCGAGGAAGCUGUCCUUCUCUUCCACGUCUCUGGUACUUUCUUUCUUUUUCACGCUGAGAAUACUUCUCUUACAUUUAGUUCCUUUCGAAAGGACGUCCUCGUGCAGUAGAACGCGUCGAAAGAACGCAACGAUUUUCUUUUCUAUUCGUCGUUUGUCAACCUGAUCGAAUAAUAGACUUAGAGUUUCUUUUAUCGAAAAAUUCUUUCGCGACAUCUCUUUUUAUCUUUUUCAUUCCCCCUCCCCUCCCCUCUCUUUCUCUCUCUUUUUCCCUUCGUUAUUACAGCCUUACAAGAUGUUUAUAUCCUUUUAGCAUCGCGAGAAUAAAGUUAUAGUGUGCAUAGAAAAUACAUUAGCGUUUGAUCGCUAAGUAGAUAAAUACUUUAAUAGCGAACGAAUAAAAAAGAAAUGAAAAACUAAUGAUAAAAUGUAUUGAUAAUUACACGUGGUUAUAAGUGUUGUAUGAUAUAACGUUGGUUCGAAUCCAAGAACAAAUUCGUGGACUCUCCUCGCGUGGACAUAUUUAAGGCAGAAACGUCUCGCAUUCCUGGCAAAGAGGUCCUCGGUAGCCAGGCACAUUAUUCCGCCAGUGGACCGCUUUUUAUCGGGUUGGACCGGCUGCUAAUCUCUCGUCCACUCUCUUUUACUUUUUCCUCUCGUCUCCUUGUUGACAAGUUUUUUUUUCGGACUUGCACGCAUCGCGAAACGGCGUGGCGGCGCGUAGCGCGAGGGAUCGCGUUCUCUUCCUCGCAGAUUCGUCCGCGCGAGGAGGACGAGUCGGUCCACUGUGGAAAGAGUGACUACUCUCUCUCUCUCUCUCUUUAAAGUUUCUCUGAAGUUUCGCCGCCUCCGCUGUCUAUCGUGCGCGACAAGUUCGCUUUUACGCGAUACGGACCCUUUGUCGUCUCGUUCCCUGACAACGCUGCGACACCUAUGCGCGUCGGAUAAACGUAAAGGGACCGCCGGCCACACCUGAUUUCGGAAAGGUCUUUCUCCGUCUUUCUCUCUCUCUCUCUCUCUCUCUCUUUACCGGAGAAUUUCAACGGGGAAUUUCAAAUCGACAGAAACGUUUAGCAAACUAUCGAGAGAAAAAAAAAGGUAGCACAGGAAGCGUAUUUUACGAUCGCUGCGGCUUUUAAAAGGAGGUUAGAAUCUAACACGUCACGCUCCGAUGGAGAUCUUUCUUGAUUGAUCUUUCUAAGCAGGAUUUCUUCAACGGUGUUAUUAUAGUUAUUAUUAAAUUAUUACAUGUAUAACGUCGACAACAUAAUUUCGUUGUUUUUUUUUUGCGUCCUUUUUUCUUUUUUCCUUCUUUUUUUUUUUGUUUUUUUUUGUUUCUUUUCCCGUUUUACGUUCGUCAGGUUCUAAAAUGAAAUACUCCACAAAUAAAUAUCCUCGUACGUGCAUUGUCCGUGUUUAUAGCUCGAGUCGGGCUAUUCUCGCGUCGGCAGGUACCGUGAAAUCUGUUUCUCGUCGCACGAAGAAAGGUAAUCCAGGAAACUCGAAGGAAAAAGAAAAAGAAAGAAAAAAAGCUGAAGAAUAUCUAGGAAGAUCCCACGUUUCAUUGAAUGGAUUAGGAUUACGAAUAAAUUGAGGAAGCAGCACGUUUAUAUCCGACAAAAACGAAUAAUAAUUUCCUUCGUGAAAAUUGCUCUUCCCGAAGGUGCAUCGAGAAUCCAUAUCUUUUACCAAUCGAUUCGUCGACUUUCGGAAAAGCGAGAAGAGCAAAGGAGGGUGCGGAAGGACCAUAUGGCACUUUUCGGGCGCGUGGCACAAAGAGAACCUCGGCGCCGUUUUUAAUUGCACCAUGUGGCGACCCUGAUGAGAAAAAGGAAGGAAGGAAGGAAGGAAGGAAGGUACGACACGAACUCGAACUUCAAACUCAUUUCUACCCACAACUGUCAGGUUCCCUGGAUGAUGGAAAUUUAUCGAACUUGGUUAGCUCUUUCCUCGGGCCGUGUGUUCUAUGUUUGAUUUUUAUACUUUCAACGACACGGUAACCGAUCCGACACUUCAGGUGACUGUCAGCUGUUUCACUGAUUCAAAAAGCGACAUCACGAUGACGUUGCACGUUCCUUUAACUCUGACAAUAGGUUCACCUUCGAUGGUCUCUUCCGGUGUCGUUAAGGCCAAUCUUCGGACAGAGCCUUGGAAAUUACUUUCGCGUAUAAGAAUAACUUUCGCUCGGUAUACACACACACAUACAUAUAUAUAUAUAUAUAUAUAUAUAUGUUUUCCUUCAAAUUCGAACUCAUUAAUGAUUUUUCUAAUCAAUAAAUCAUUUUCAAGUGCUCUACGUUU